CCCCACCCUUCACAUACCCCCUGGGCUGUUCCUUGUGUCUUUUUCUUCCUCUCCAAGUAACCAGGCAAAAUCCUAUUCAAAUUCUAUCCAUCCUUCAAGGUUAUUCCAGAAUUCUCCCAGGCAGAAUUAAUCUCUCCUUUCUCUGGGCUCUCUCAGCAAUCCAGUCUGUACUUACCUUUAUUAGAGAACAUAAUCUUAGUUUGGAUAUGAGUGGUUCUCAUCUCAAAGUGUGGUUCCCAGAGCAGCAGCAUCACCAUAACCUAGGAACUUGUUAGAAACCAAAUUCUCAGGCCCCACCCCAAAACAACUCAAUAAAAAACUCUGGGGAUGGGACCCAGCAAUCUAUAUUUUAACAGUCUCUCCAAAUCUCCAAUUGGUAUGGUAUCUCCUUUGCUAGACUGUGUUUGUUGAGGGCACGGGGUAGGUUUACUUUUCUCUUUCUUUAGCAUCUAGUCUAGGCAGGCAGUUGCUAAGUGAUCAAUAGUGAAUGAAUGAUUGGAGAGCACCUUAGACGGCUUUAACAAUACUUUGCAGAUCAUACUUGUACAACACACCCUACAUUUCCACUGCAUACAUAUCCGUGGCUCUUGACCCUUCCAUUCUUGCAUAUCCUUGGAUCUGGGUGGACUGGCCUGCCUCUCCUCCCUUGUCCUGUCUCACCCUAAGUGAAGGACAGAGCUCUGUUCUCAGUAAUGACAGAUGAUAUCAGAGCUUAGCAGAUAUCUGACUGCAGGGAUGCUGAUGGAAUUGUUGGGUUGUCUCAGUUGAUACACACAUUUAGGUUUCAAGAACUUAGACAUGAAAGUCAUGGCUGCCGGCCUGUCUCCCUGCAGCCUUGUCCUUUGGCAGCUGAAAUUUCUGGCAGUUGUGUAGAAAAUACCUUCUCCUCCCCAAAGUGAGGGGAGGAAUGAGGGUGGUGGAUAAAGGAGAAAGAGAAACCAAAAUCUAGAAACAACAUGAUACAAUGAAGUGAAAAGAUAGACUGUGGGCUCUGGAUUCAGAAAACUUGACUCCAAAUCUCAGGUCUUCCAUCAUC
rnacentral:lncRNA from 10 species